UUUAAGUUCCUGACCACAAGCAUCUUUGUUUCUAAGGUUCCCAUCCUAAAGAUGGAAGUAAAGCCAUUACAAUGUAUCCUUCCCUGACAAGGAAUAUGAUCCAUUGUUUGCUGUUAACAGUGCAAUUCCUAAGGCAGGCCUUCUAAGGAAACCUGUGCUUGUAAAAUACUGCAUGCAUCACCGACAAGACCUAUUCUUACUGAUUGAGUCACAGAUGCAAUGUUUGUAUCUCCAUGAACAGCCUUGUGGGUGGAAUUUCCCUUUUCUUCCAACUCAGUAGGAGGAUUAGAUUUCUUUUCUGAUCUUCCCAGGAUCUGUUUAUGAUCCUUGCUCUUGGCACCACUGUCAGCAUUAAACUUGUCCUAAGCAGAAAGGUAUAUGCUUUGAACUAAGCCCAGGGAAUCUGGUGCCUGUGUCUAAGGCAGUAGCCCUUCACCCUGAUGGCCCACUAGAGUCACUUGGGGAGCUUUGAAGAAAAACCACAUCUGGGCCCCACUGCCCUAGACUGCACUUUAACUGCACUGGACUGUAGCCCAGGAAAGCUGCAUGAGAUGGAGAACCAGACUGAGAACCACUGGACCAGGUGUAAGAAAAUAAGCCAACUGACUUGAGCCCUGGAGUCAAAUUCUAAAGCUAUGGGAUAAUUAGCUUGUGGGAUUGGAGGACUUCCCUUCAAGGUCAGGAGUGUCCAGGGAGAAAAAUCUCUAUCUCUAUUCCCUCUUCCCAGCUCCCUAUUCCAACCUCCUCAGGUGACCCAUUUACCUACACCCACCAGACUCUAACCAGCCAUGUUUUGAAGAUUGACUUCUAUUCAGAUCAGAAACAUGGAAGCUCCUUGGCAGGGGCAAAGCACAACUCUGCGUCACUCAGUGUCACUCUAGCAUAAAUACCCUCCCCUGCUGCCCAGUCACCUGGCCUGGGCCCACCUUUGGAAGACUUCUUUGAGCUGACCUGCAGGGCUUGGCUGACCACUCAGACUUUGACUCGUGGCAGCCCCUGACCUGCUUCAGCCUUCUCUCCUGAUCAUUCACUCCUCUAGGGCCCAGAUUUCCUGCCUCCUCCCCCUCAGUCCUGGUUCUCUGCUCAGCUACCUCUCUCUCCCCCACUACCUCUUUUCUAGCUCCAAUCCGCUGCUCUCCAAGAACUUCUGCAGUAUGUUCCUUGGUCUCAGGAUAUUUGCUGUGCCCUGUGGGUGUUUGCCCCCUGAGCCUUAUGGCUCAAUAUACCCACACACUUUGACAUACCCAAAAGCAGCCAGUGCCUGCCUUCUGCCAGGUCUGCAACUGCCAAGGAGUUAAUUUCUCUGAAAUUCAGCUAAAGCUGACUCAUGCCUCUUCUCUGAGGUCUGGAGCUGAAUGAAAGGCAUGAAAUGGUCCGUGAAACCUAGUAUGUCAAAUGAGAUAAUGUAUACCAAAGGGCCUGAACUGGAAAGCACAACACAAAUAUGAAGUAUUGAUAAUAAGCAGCAGCAACAUUGCACAUGCCUGUCUGGGAUACAGCUGGUAGCUGACCAUGAGUACCAGAGGAGGGAUAUAGACCGAUCAAGGACAGACAGGCAAGUCAUUUACAAAUCAGAAGAUUAAAGAAUUGAGCGAUUGGGACCAGAUAGGCAGUAGCGAAGGGAGCAGUGCAAAAAGCAGAGGCAGUGUUCACGACAAAACUGGAGGCCCAGAGUGAGGAAGAGCUAGGGAUUUCCAUCAGCAAGUACUUUGGAUUCUACCUUCAAAGCAUGUCCAUAAUCUGGCCACUUGUUACCACCUCUACAACCAUCACCUGCCUAGACUAUUGUAGUAGCUCCUACUUGGUCUCCCUGCUUCCACCUUCACUUCCUCACUGUCCAUUUUCAACAUAACAGCCUUAGCGAUCCUGCCAAAAGUGAGGUACUUCACAUCAUGUCACUGCUCCACUCAGAAUGCUUUAAUGUCUUGUCAUCCUUCUCAGGAUAAAAGCUGAAGUCCCUUACCAUGGCUUACGAGGCUCCAUGUGGUCUGGACCACAGUUACCCCUCUAAUCUCGUCCUCUCCCACAUGCGCAUCUGCUGCAGUUACUCUGGGCUUCUUGCUGUUUCUUGAACACCCCAAGGUCAUUUCUGCCUCAUGUUCCUUUCCCCUGCUCUUUCUUAUUCCUGGAUUUUCUUCCUGGCUCUUCAUCUUCUCACUUCAUUGAGGGCUAAGCUCAAGUGUCAUUCCUAAUUUCAGGGAUCAUCCUGCCACAGGAACACCAGAUCUGAGCCAUAUCCAUGACCUACACCACAGCUCAUGGCAAUGCUGGAUCCUCAACCCACUGAGCAAGGCCAGGGAUCAAACCUGCAUCCUCAUGGAUGCUAGUCAGAUUCAUUUCCACUGAGCCAUGACAGGAACUCCCUGAACUUCUCUAUUUUAAGUGGCAGUUCCCAGCCCCAUCAUGCUGUAUCCUUUUCCUAGCUAUAUUUUAUAUAGCACUGAAAUGAGAAAUAUUUAGUAGAUAUGACUUUAUUGUCUGACUCUUCUACUAAAAUGUAAGCUCCAUGAACAUAGGGAUUUUGUCUGCCUUGUUCCCUGCUUGCAUAGGGCCUGGCAUCGUUGGAUAAAUGAUUGAAUAAACAAAUGGAGUAGCAGAUUUAAGACUCCAACAAUAAAUCAAGAUAUCAAGUCAAGGGGCAAAGUAGUUGCCUUCAUCUUGAGCUUUAUUGUGGUUCUGUGGAGGCAGAGACCUGUCCCCCAGGGUGCCCUCUGCCAGGUCUGCAACUGCCAAGGAGUUAAUUGGUAAAGAUUAUUUUUCCAAAGAAGGAGAAGACAAGGAAAGUGCACCUUCCCAACUCCUGCCCAUCCUAGAGCUGAGCUAUUCUGGGAAUUCCAAGGGCAAACCAAAGGCCUCAUUGGGAAGGCUUCAGGGAAGUAGAAAUCCUUAUUAUUCUGUCUCCAGGACCCCUGUUUCUCCAGGAUAUGGGCUUUUGAAUCUCUGGGAGCAAUCUCUCUUUAUCAUCUCCCCCUCUCCUGUGAGGGACAUCCUUGGCUGGCCCAACCAUGUCACAUUUAUGGCAAAGUGAAACAGCACAGCAGGAGAUGGCAUGGGCAUUCAGUGCUAAUCGUGGCUCUCUAUUUCCCUCCUAGUUGUGAGAUCAUAAGCAAGUUAUUUCUAUUUCUCAGAGCCUCACUACCUUGUCCGUAAAUGGAGAAUAGUGAUAGUACCUUUGCCAGGGAUGUUGUAAGGAUGAAAUGUGAUCAUGCAUUUUAAGCAGGACAUUUGGCAUGAGAUUCUGCAUUGCUAACCAGUUCCCAGGUUGUGCUGACGCAUGGACCAGGCUCUAAAUAGCCAACAGAAAUACAAGAGAGUGGUCUGGGGGAUAAAAUACUGGUGAAAUGUGUUUGCAAGAAGCUUCCUAGCCUCUGAUUCCCACCUUAAAGGCAGCCCGAAAUUGCUACCUCCUAACCCAGAAGCGCUGCAUUGUUUCCAGCUUCUUUCUCUGCAGGAGUCCCUGAAUCCAAUUCCAGCUGUACCUAUUCCUCUCUUCAGUCUCAACCCCACAAUAAGGCCUCAUACAAUGACACUCUUUUAAGGAAGUUUCAGUCAGAACUGAGAGAGGAGAGAGAGGUUUUCUGUUUUACUUAGAUCUGCUCCUUGGUUUCCUUCGCCCUCGGACAUAUGGCCAGGCGCUUGUUUUCAUGGCUGCUUAAUGGUUUGUAAAGCAAUUGCUGGAUGAAACAUUGCUACAGCAAGCCAGGCUCAAGAGACACAGGGAUUCACCGGCCAAUGUUAUCUUUGCUGAGUACCAGGGCUGUUCCAGCUCCUUUCCUCUUUCUGUCUGACAGUGACAGAUGGCUUCCACAUGGUUUGACCUACUGUUUGGCCAGAUCUGACCAGAUAGUCAUCCAUCAGCUGCCCUAUUUGACCCCCUAGAGGGCACCCUGUGGUUUGAGGGAGGCAGAAGUUAGAGGUUCCUUUGGCGCUCACCCCAUCUCAUAGCUGUCGUAGUAGAGUUUCAAGCAUGGACAGCUCUUAUUCCAGAUGUUACCAUCCCGGAGUCCAUAUGUUUCAAGGUGGGAUCAGCAGGUUUACGUGGUAAUGUUCAACUAAUUAAUCAUAAGCCGAUGCUUUAACAGCUUCAGGACCCAAAGCAGGUUUGGUACUAACAAAGAUGUAUGCAAUACAUAUGGUAUUAUUAAUUGGGAAAAAGGAGGUGAAGUUCAGCUUUUUCCAUUGCUUUGGCACAAUCUCUAUUUUCUUACUGAUCCUGAAUGUUACUUAUGAAGCCUCUGAAAGCUGUAUGGGAAAAUCUCCAAAACCUUGCCUCAUGGCUCUCUUUGAGUGUUACAAAACAAAAACUUUUAAUAUAAACUGUAGGGCAUGAGAAAAAAGGUAGUAUAAACAGAGCGGUCAAGCAGAUGAGGAAUCAGGAGACCUGGGUCUAGUCCCAACUUGCCUCUCUUUUUGUAACUUUAAACACAUCUCUUAAUUGAUUUAACAAACUUUUUAAACAUCUACUAGGUAGAUUCAAGAAAUACCUGGGUUUUAGAUUUUUUCUAACUGUAACAUGAGAUUGUUAUAUGAACUUGACUUCUAAAAGACUUUAAAUAAAGUAUUUACAUUCCUUUCUUUCUGAAAGGACAUAUAUAUAUAUAUGUCUUUUUAGGGCUACACCCACAGCAUAUGGAGGUUCCCAGGCUAGGGGUCCAAUCGGAGCUAUAGCCACCAGCCUACACCACAGCCUCAACAAUGCUGGAUCCGAGCUGCAUGUUUGACCUACACCACAGCUCAUGGCAAUGCCAGAUCCUUAACCCACUGAGUGAGGCCAGGGAUUAAACCCUUGUCCUCAUGGAUCCUAGUCAGGUUCGUUAACCACUGAGCCACAACGGGAACUCCCUGAAACCAUAAUUUGCUCACUAAAUUUUUGCCUAUUCCACUUGCACAUAAAUUGUACUUUCCUUGUAAAAAAAUGCUGUAUCAGAGUAAAAAGAUAUGGGGACAUUUGAAUAAUUACAGCUUUAAUGGAAUGCAACCUGACCAAGUCUAUUAAAAUUAAAGAUACAUUAAAAUAAUUUUUAAAACUAGGAGAUAUUUUAAAUACCAAAUCUAUUGAAGUUAAAACUACUCAGCAACUCCCUGCAUUAUUUGU
rnacentral:lncRNA from 1 species